UAAGGAAUAUUGGGCAAUGGACGCAAGUCUGACCCAGCCAUGCCGCGUGAAGGAUGACUGUCCUAUGGAUUGUAAACUUCUUUUAUGCAGGAAAAAUAGCCUGGUCGCGAACCGGGUUUGAUGGUACUGUAUGAAUAAGCAUCGGCUAACUCCGUGCCAGCAGCCGCGGUAAUACGGAGGAUGCAAGCGUUAUCCGGAUUCAUUGGGUUUAAAGGGUGCGCAGGCGGAAUUAUAAGUCAGUGGUGAAAUCUCCCAGCUUAACUGGGAAACUGCCAUUGAUACUGUUAUUCUUGAGUACAGUUGAAGUGGGCGGAAUGUGUCAUGUAGCGGUGAAAUGCUUAGAUAUGACACAGAACACCGAUAGCGAAGGCAGCUCACUAAGCUGUAACUGACGCUCAUGCACGAAAGCGUGGGGAUCAAACAGG
rnacentral:rRNA from 1 species